ACGGGAGGCAGCAGUGGGGAAUAUUGGACAAUGGGCGCAAGCCUGAUCCAGCAAUGCCGCGUGAGUGAAGAAGGCCUUAGGGUUGUAAAGCUCUUUCGCCCGCGACGAUGAUGACGGUAGCGGGAGAAGAAGCCCCGGCUAAUUCCGUGCCAGCAGCCGCGGUAAUACGGAAGGGGCUAGCGUUGUUCGGAAUCACUGGGCGUAAAGCGCGCGUAGGCGGCCUUGCAAGUGCGGCGUGAAAGUCCUGGGCUCAACCUGGGGACGGCGCUGCGGACUGCUUGGCUGGAGUCCGGAAGAGGGUGGUGGAAUUCCGAGUGUAGAGGUGAAAUUCGUAGAUAUUCGGAGGAACACCGGUGGCGAAGGCGGCCACCUGGUCCGGUACUGACGCUGAAGCGCGAAAGCGUGGGGAGCAAACAGGAUUAGAUACCCUGGUA
rnacentral:rRNA from 1 species